AAAACAAAAAACCCCAAAACUUAAAAGAUUCUCCCUUGCAUGAGAAUCUUAUUUGCCCUCCACUUACCACCAUUUAUAAUAAUUCCUCUUUUUGUUUCCUUCCUGCCCUGUUAUUAACACCUCUGAAGGUUGGCCCCAUGCAGGGAACAUACUACUUUUAUAGUGCACUCGGCUGGCAAGCAGUCUUUCUUACUUUCUCUGUGUUGUGUCUAUGUAUACACAGCAUAUCUGUGAGGGAGAUAUUAAUAUUAUUCCCAUUUUACAGAUAAAGAAGAUGUGAAGCAUAUGGAGGCUAAGCCCCUCCCUCCAUCAGGCCACAGAGCCAGGUGCAAGCCCAGUCUCACCCCAGCAUCCUGGCUCCUGUCAGCUGUCGUUUAUCAUCACUAUACACCAGCACGCCUGGCUCUUUGUAGGAGCUGAGUGAACAUGGGCAGAAGGAAUCGUGAAGUAAACGCUUCCAAGUCGGAACAUCCAGAGACAUUUGGUUCCUCUCUAGGUGCUCUUACCCAUUCCUAGUUCUACUAUUUAUGCUGGGAGGCAUCUUCUGUCCCUUACUAAUUGAUAAGUUCAUCUAGGGCAAGAAUCAUGAUUUAUCCAUCUUCGUGCCUCUCAUGAUACCCAACAGUAGGCGCUCAAAAAACUUUUCCUAGUGUGUGCAGGCAUUUAAAACUCAGUAGAAAUUAACCACAAUUGCAAUGAAGUAAAAUUCAACUAAGAGUUCCCACAAAAAAUAAGUACAACAGUCACCAUUCCAGUCAUUUAUAGAGCUGAUCUGAAUCCAGAGGUAAGUUUCCAGAAUUAAAGAGCUGUUUUAUAGACUGCGUCUUUCUACUUCACGAGUGGGUAGAAAUCAUCUUUAUUAGAAAAAAAAUAAGUGCGGGAGGGCGGGGGGCAGAGAGAACUAUUUCAAAAGGUUUUUCCCUGUUUGUCCUAAAUCCUCCAGAGCAGGCAGUUAAACGUUGAGUCCAGCGUUUCGGAGCCUGGCCAGUCUAUUACAGGCCUUGGUGGUGAAAGGCAGAGUGGCCUCAUCCAAGCUUUGUCUCUCGUCAGCAAUGCUACCUGUGCUGGCCUUUCCGCCUUACUUCCCAAACUCCUCUCCCAUUUCUCAUUUCUGCUCCCAUUUCCCCUUGUUCCCUCCAACACUACGAAGGCAAAUUAUGGGGCUCAAUACUGAGAAGUCCUUUCCACCUUAUUGAUAAUGAAUUUCUUUCCUGGGAAACACCUGGGAAAGAGACCAAAAAUUCAGGACAGUACAGCCUAAUCUGAGGUAUCUGUCCAUUCUUGGCAGGUAUGCAUUGCUAAAAGCAUGUGACUACUACCGUAUAUCAGAGAGCCCUUUUAUGGAACGUGGCUCUCUGCUCCAUGAGUGGGUGGAAAUAAUAUUUAGUGAAAAGAAGAGUCUCGGCAUCUUAAUGAAAGAAACCUAGAUAGGAGAUGAGUCAUUUAAACCCUCUCUCUGUCAUCACACAGAAAUAGCUUGAAGAAAGAAGGAGUCAACUCAAAUGCCCAAGGAGGGCAAUGGCAACAGAGAUUUGGGAAUCUUUUCCAGGGUAAAAACAACUGGGAUGGGCUAGGGGUGAAUAAGGAAGUUCCAUCCUGUCUAAAGGUGUCUGUUAUGGGGUGAAUUAUGUUCCCUCCAAUAAGAUUAUGUUGAAGUCUUAACCCCCAGUACCCUAAAAUGUGACCUUAUUUGGAAAUAAAGUCACUGUAGAUAGAAUGAGUUAGGAAAAGAUCACACUAGAGAGUAAGUAGGCCCGAAAUUCAACAUGACUGGCAUCCCAGUAAGAAGGUGGCCAUGAGAAGACAGACACAAGGAGAGUUCCACAUGAAGACGGGGGCAGAGACUGGGGUGAUGCAGGUACAAGCAGGGAACACCAAGGACAGCCUGCUGCCACCAGGAGCUACGGGAAAGAAACGGAACAGUCUGCCUCAGAAGGAGCUCACCCUGCCCACACGCCCUGAUUUCAGACCUUUACCCUCAGAAUUGUGAAAAAAAUUUUGUUGUUUUAAGCUACCCUGUUUGUGGUAUGUCACCAUGGCCGUUUUAAGAAUCGAAUACAGCAUCCCAAUUCAGACUUAAAAAACGCAAGAUGACCAAACCCAGCCCCGGCAGCUAGAUGGUCUCUAAUUCCAAUGCUCACUAUUCAGUGGGCAGUCACAUUUCUGUCAAAAACAAAAAUGCAGUUACAAAACAUUUUCUGGCUAAACAAUGCAUUCUCCUGGAUCUCACACAUCAGAAUUAUCUUCCAGAUCCCAGGGGUGAGAAGCGCAGCUUCUGCGUCAGACACCAGUCUAGUGGACAUCGCACGCUAGCCCUGCCACUCGCCAGCUGUGGGGCUUUGGGAGCUCUGUGCCUCAGUCUCCUCCACCUAUAAGUGGGAAUGAUAGUGAAGUCGGCCUCACAGAUGAGGAUGCAGGGCACACUGGGAAGCCUGCUGAAUUACAACGAGGGGGAGAACUCAGCAACCCAAGCGGCAUGAUCUCUAUCACAGGCUGCAGCACUGGAUUUUACCUUACUGUGCAUGAUUUUUCAUUUGCUUUACUGUGAACUCACCUAGGACGGGGUCCAGGCCUUGGUCACUUUUGCUCUCCUUGCACAUGUGUGGCAGGUAGUCAGACAUGCCUCGGGAAUGAAGGCAGGAAUGUACUUCAUCGACUCCACUCCUGUGAUGUGAGAUCCCUGAGGGCAGGACCCAAGUCCUACAUCAACCCUAGAGCCCAGCACCAGCAAGAUGCCUCUGUGCUUUCCAUGAAGAAGUCGGCCCCAGAACAUGACCUGCAUCUCAGAGAAGUUCUGAUUUAUGAAUUGGCACUGAGGCGACGUCGCUGGUGCGGAACACCAUGACGUCUGUGUCUAGGUUUUCCCAUGUGAUUCUCUUAAGAACAAAAUAUAAUACAGUCGUGUAAAUCUAAGUGAUUUAUUACACAAGUGAUUAUCCUAGAGAUACUGGGACCCACGACUUGGGGCUCCACCAAUGUUCCUCUGUUAUAUAAGCUCAGGUAUGAGUUCUGGGAAGCCACAGGGCAUGGGAGCAAAACCACAUGCUUUGGCUCAGACCUCGAUUGGAAUUCGGGCACCGCCACUUACUAAGGGGCCUUCUCAAGCCUGUCUCCUAUCUGUAAAAUGGGAAUGAGCCUACCGACUUCAUAGGAUUGCUGUGAGGAUUAAAUGGAAAUCGGUACGCAAAAUGGCCAGCACAGUGCUAACAUCUAGAAGGUGCUGCCCAGCCCCAAAGAGAUCUACCAGAGAAAUAAUAAUUCUCAUUUUUAGUCAAGCUACAAAAUAAGACUCCUCAUUUCUGAUUUGUUUUAUAAAAAUGCAAAAAAGAGAGAGAAGAAAAGCCUUCCAAGAUUCUGAUACCGCUCACCCCAGUUUUCACUUGAAAGUCAACCAAUGAAUGAGCACCAGGGUGAAGAUGGAAUUCUGCCAGCCACAGUACCUGCAAGAGUCCACAACACACUUGACUUUCAUUCAUGUGUACUACAAUCCUGUGGGUUAAAGGGCCAUAAAAGUUGUCCUGGUUUUUCUUAUACUUCAAAGGAAGCAAUUUAAUGGCCAUGAAUGACAGCCUCCCGAUUACACUGUAACUAUGAAACACGACUGUUCUGGAAUGAUUUCCAGGCUGGCUCCCUCACCAAAGGAACUUCAAGCCCACUGAGAACAGAGGGACACACACCACAGGGAGGUGAGCUGUCUCGGAAGGAGCCCUCCACGCAGACCCCACAGCUAUAUUAACUGUGCUUAACGUAAUCAUGAACACAUAAUCGCGGGGCUAUUGAAGACUCCAUAACAAACAAGAUCAAGGAGCCUGGAGCCUCUAAAACAUGAAAACCAAUUAGCACUAUGAAAUCUAAGAGCAGACACAGCCAGAGCUCGAGAAAAGGCAUGGGCAGGAGCUGGACUGCUCAAUCCUGCUCACUCCUCCCUUCCUUCCUGUUACACGGUUCUGUUCUGAGGUGCUGCUGAGAGGGGCUUCCUCUCCUGGGCCAGAACUGAGGCUAAGGCCCGAAGCUGAGGACAGAAAGUGAUCAACUCCCCACAUUCUAAAGAGGCUGCUGGAGAAGCGGCCACGACUGGGGCCUGACAUCCUUCUCUAGGGAUUAUCAGGCAGCACUCUGCUACCCAUCCCACAGGACCGUAACUUAUCCUUCCCAAUCCGUAGAAAGCAAGACUCUGAAGCAUGUGCGUUUGUCUUUGGCCUUGUGGGAGGUUUCUAUUCAAGAGGAAAACUGAUGCCAUGAAGGAUGGGAUGAGGUGCUUUCUCUUCCCAGAAGGGAAAGAUUUGGGUGCCUCGUGAAAGGGAGUCUGGAGUCAGCUCCCUGGUCAAUGAUCUACUUGCAGAGACAACUCUCUGAUCUCACCUUAAUAAAUGAGAUUCAUUCACCUGGCACUUUGGGUUUCAUGUAGGGGGAGAGAUGGAAGAGUUAGGGGAAUAAAAGGAGAUGAAAGGACUAAAGAAAAGGCAGAAGGAGGCCGGGCAUGGUGGCUCACAUCUGUAAUCC
rnacentral:lncRNA from 1 species